UGAAGCGACCUCUCCUUAUACCUGCAGACUGACAUCAAAAUUCUGAGAAAUGAGAACAAGCCCAUUUAUCUCAUGUGACCUAAGAAAAUGUGAGCAUCUAAAUGCCCUUGACUAUUUUGAGACUGUCUCUGCUAGCACAGCCUUGCCUUCUAAAAUUACGGAUAAAUCAUGAAAAGGAAUUUUGACUUCUCACUUUUUGUUCUUCAAACCAAGAAAUUUCUUCACUUCAAGAAGAUUGAUUUCAGACUUAAAAAGCA